UACGAAGGGGGGCUAGCGUUGCUCGGAAUCACUGGGCGUAAAGCGCACGUAGGCGGCUUUCUAAGUCAGGGGUGAAAUCCUGGAGCUCAACUCCAGAACUGCCUUUGAUACUGGAGAGCUUGAGUCCGGAAGAGGUGAGUGGAACUCCGAGUGUAGAGGUGAAAUUCGUAGAUAUUCGGAAGAACACCAGUGGCGAAGGCGGCUCACUGGUCCGGUACUGACGCUGAGGUGCGAAAGCGUGGGGGAGCGAACAGG
rnacentral:rRNA from 1 species